rnacentral:rRNA from 1 species
GACGAACGCUGGCGGCGUGCUUAACACAUGCAAGUCGAACGGUGAAGCGCUUGACUUUUUGGUGGGUGUGGAUGAGUGGCGAACGGGUGAGUAACACGUGAGUAACCUGCCCUCUUCUUCUGGAUAACCUCAUGAAAGUGGGGCUAAUACGGGGUAUUCCGGGUCUGUCGCAUGGCGGGUUUGGGAAAGAUUGCGAUUUCGGGUGGUUUCGGUGGGGGAUGGUCUCGCGGCCGAUCAGCUUGUUGGUGGGGUGAUGGCCUAGCAAGGCGGUGACGGGUAGCCGGGCUGGGGGGGUGGACGGCCAGACUGGGGCUGAGACACGGCCCAGACUCGUGCGGGGGGCAGCAGUGUGGAAGAUUGCACAAGGGGCGCAAGCCUGAUGCAGCGACGCCGGGUGAGGGAGUGAGGCCUUCGGGUUGUGAUCCUCUUUCGCCAGUGAAGCAGGCCUGCUCCUGUGUGGGUGGGUUGACGGUAGCUGGAUAAGAAGCGCCGGCUAACUACGUG